rnacentral:rRNA from 1 species
GCAGUGCGGAAGGAUCAUUA